rnacentral:rRNA from 1 species
AUUGAACGCUGGCGGCAUGCCUUACACAUGCAAGUCGAACGGCAGCGGGGACUUCGGUCCGCCGGCGAGUGGCGAACGGGUGAGUAAUGUAUCGGAACGUACCAUUGAGUGGGGGAUAACGUAGCGAAAGUUACGCUAAUACCGCAUAUUCUCUCCGGAGGAAAGCAGGGGACCGCAAGGCCUUGCGCUCUUUGAGCGGCCGAUAUCAGAUUAGCUAGUUGGUGAGGUAAAGGCUCACCAAGGCGACGAUCUGUAGCGGGUCUGAGAGGAUGGUCCGCCACACUGGAACGGAGACACGGUCCAGACUCCUACGGGAGUCAGCAGUGGGGAAUUUUGGACAAUGGGGGCAACCCUGAUCCAGCCAUGCCGCGUGAGUGAAGAAGGCCUUCGGGUUGUAAAGCUCUUUCGGCCGGGAAAAAAUCGCAUGGGCUAAUACCCUGUGUGGAUGAUGGUACCGGAAUAAGAAGCACCGGCUAACUACGUGCCAGCCGCCGCUGUAA